GACGGAGGGGGCUAGCGUUGUUCGGAAUUACUGGGCGUAAAGCGCACGUAGGCGGCCUUUCAAGUCAGAUGUGAAAGCCCCGGGCUUAACCCGGGAAUUGCAUUGAUACUGUUAGGCUUGAGACCGGGAGAGGAUAGCGGAAUUCCCAGUGUAGAGGUGAAAUUCGUAGAUAUUGGAAGAACACCAGUGGCGAAGGCGGCUAUCUGGACCGGUACUGACGCUGAGACGCGAAAGCGUAGGAGCA
rnacentral:rRNA from 1 species